rnacentral:rRNA from 1 species
UUGAGAACUCUGUGUGCAACCAUAGCUCAUGAUUCCAUCGCUAAUGAUAUGGCCAAAACCACUAGUAUACUUCAGGAUAAGAGUGCCACAGAUCCGGACUUCAAAGUUUGUGUGCAAGUAGACGGUGAAAGCAGGGUGAAAACAGUAAUAUGGUGUAAUGGUAAAAAUCGGCUGGAUUAUGCACAUUUCGGUGAUGUGGUUACUUUCGACACCACUUACAGGACCAACCUGUAUAACAUGCCAUUUGGGCCUUUUGUUGGUGUGAAUAACCAUUUCCAGUCUAUUAUUUUUGGCGGCGUCCUCAUGGUUGAUGAAAAGACUCCCACAUUUGAAUGGGCAUUCAGAAACUUUAUUGACUUGAUGGACGGGAAACAUCCUACUACUUUAUUGAUAGAUCAAUGCAAAGCUAUGCAAAAUGCUUUACGAAGUACAAUGCCCCACACCCGUCAUAGGUGGUGCAGAUGGCAUGUGUUAAAGGUCUUGAAAGAGAAAAUUGGACACGUGUACAACAAACAUUCUGCCUUCAAGAAGGAAUUCCACGCGAUAGUAAAUGAAGAGACGGAUGUAGAAUCAUUUGAGCGAAAGUGGCAUCAAUUGAUUAAAAAAUACAAACUUCAAGGAAACAAGUACCUUCGCAGGAUUUUCAAGUGGAGGGACAUGUGGGCAAUGCCAUACUUCAUGGGCACAUUCUGUGCCGGGAUGACCAGCACGCAACGGAGCGAGAGUGCGAAUCAUCUCCUCAAAAAGUUCAUCAGCAGAUCACCCCCAAUGCACUUGUUUGUUAAGCAGUACAACAAAUUGCUUGAUUCCAUGAGCCAGGCAGAAGACGAGGCAAAUUAUGUCAGCAAGCAGACACGCAGACGGCUUGUAAUUGGCGCUACUAUCAAGAUAGAUGCAGCGGCUGUGUACACGAAGGCCUUGUACAAAAUAUUUUCACACGAACUUUUUAGAUCAGGCUCAUUUGAUGCACGCCGUUCCAAGCCUGGACACGUCUACAAGGUCAAAUUGUCGCCGCAACUAGCCUUAACUGAUUAUGACAAAAAGGUAUUCACU